UAUGCACCGAUCACUUCAGUGGAUGUAUAGAGAGUUCGUUUUCUACGUUUGAAAAUAUUCUGUCGGACAAUAGUCAGUUUUACUACUGCAAAUCUAGAAAAAUACAAGAUUACUGUUGAAAAAAAAAGUCAUACUUAAAUAUAUUGAUACUUUCCAAGAAGAUACUUUGAGUUAUGCUGGUUUUUGUUGUGGACACCGUUCGUAUCAUAAAGACAAACACACGAGAACCACCCUUUUUCCCCACUGUGAAUUAUUAUUAAGCUCCUGGACGUUUUGGCCACGAUGAAGCUAUGAAUGUCAUUAUAGGUAUAAUAUGGUCUUAUAAGCAUAAUUCAAAAUUCUCAAAUUUAAAAUUUAAAUAAAUACGUUUUAAAAGAAUAAAUGUGAGU